UAGGGAAUCUUCGGCAAUGGGGGGAACCCUGACCGAGCAACGCCGCGUGAGUGAAGAAGGUUUUCGGAUCGUAAAGCUCUGUUGUUAAGGAAGAACGAGUGUGAGAAUGGAAAGUUCAUGCUGUGACGGUACUUAACCAGAAAGGGACGGCUAACUACGUGCCAGCAGCCGCGGUAAUACGUAGGUCCCGAGCGUUGUCCGGAUUUAUUGGGCGUAAAGCGAGCGCAGGCGGUUAGAAAAGUCUGAAGUGAAAGGCAGUGGCUCAACCAUUGUAGGCUUUGGAAACUGUGUAACUUGAGUGCAGAAGGGGGGAGUGGAAUUCCAUGUGUAGCGGUGAAAUGCGUAGAUAUAUGGAGGAACACCGGUGGCGAAAGCGGCUCUCUGGGCUGUAACUGACGCGGAGGCUCGAAAGCGUGGGGAGCGAACAGG
rnacentral:rRNA from 1 species